CGUGUAGGCGGGGAUGCAAGUCAGAUGUGAAAUACCGAGGCUUAACUUCGGGGCUGCAUCUGAAACUGUAUUUCUUGAGUAUCGGAGAGGAAAGUGGAAUUCCCAGUGUAGCGGUGAAAUGCGUAGAUAUUGGGAGGAACACCAGUGGCGAAGGCGACUUUCUGGACGGUAACUGACGCUGAGGCGCGAAAGCGUGGGGAGCAAACA
rnacentral:rRNA from 1 species